GACGAACGCUGGCGGCGUGCUUAACACAUGCAAGUCGAACGGAAAGGCCCUGCUUUUGUGGGGUGCUCGAGUGGCGAACGGGUGAGUAACACGUGAGUAACCUGCCCUUGACUUUGGGAUAACUUCAGGAAACUGGGGCUAAUACCGGAUAGGAGCUCCUGCUGCAUGGUGGGGGUUGGAAAGUUUCGGCGGUUGGGGAUGGACUCGCGGCUUAUCAACUUGUUGGUGGGGUAGUGGCUUACCAAGGCUUUGACGGGUGGCCGGCCUGAGAGGGUGACCGGCCACAUUGGGACUGAGAUACGGCCCAGACUCCUACGGGAGGCAGCAGUGGGGAAUAUUGCACAAUGGGCGGAAGCCUGAUGCAGCAACGCCGCGUGCGGGAUGACGGCCUUCGGGUUGUAAACCGCUUUCGCCUGUGACGAAGCGUGAGUGACGGUAAUGGGUAAAGAAGCACCGGCUAACUACGUG
rnacentral:rRNA from 1 species